rnacentral:lncRNA from 1 species
GAGGCUAGGAUCAAGGAGUUCAAGGAGCAAAGGGCUUGGAGGUGGUCCAUCCUUGGUCUAAGAUCUAGAUCAAGAGGUAAAAAACUACUCCUAAACUUUGUUCUUGUAUAAAUUUGUUUUUGAUGCAUCUUACAUAAACCUAUGCAUCUUGAAGGGGGUUUACAUGACUAUUGCUUUGAUAUUAUUUGAUAACAUGCUUCCGUUGCUUUCAUAUAUAAAUUUUGAAUUGUAUAUGCAUGCUAGUCACUAUAAAUCACACAUGAAUCUCAUAGUAUUCCCUUCAAGUAGUAUCAGAGCCAAAGGUUUAUGUAUGAUGUGUCCUUUUGGAUUUUAUGCAUAUGGGUUUUAAUUUUAUGUAUGACAUAUUAUUGCUUCAUUCAAAGUAUGUUUAUCUUUUGUUUUUCAAUUGUUGAAAAAUGUAAAUCAAUAGUUGAGAAAGAUAUGUAUGCAAAAAGUGUUUUGGAUGCAUGAAUGAAGAAUGAGUUUAGAACAAAUUUUAGGGUUUUGAGUCAUAGGGAGGGCACGGCAAAAAGGGGUUUUUGGCUAUGUGUUUGUGUUUUUAUUUUGAAUCACACACACACACUUUAAAGCUAGAAAGUAGAAAUCUUGUCACUUUUGUUUUUGGGUUUGAUAUUGGCUUCUCUUUCUGAUUCAUUCUCGCAGUUCGUAAUGAACUACAAUAUGAAUAAGAUGGAUAGUACUCUCUCUGAGUUACUAAAUAUGUUAGUAACUGCCGAGAAGACUAUGAAGAAAGAGAACGUUGUAGGGACUUCUGCAGUAGCCUACAACAAGCCAUCAUCUUCCAAGGCUAAGCCACAAGGCAAAGGCAAAGGGAAGGAGAAGAAGUCUCCCACUCCUAAGCCGCAAGGAGGAGUGAGGAAAAAGAAGGCAAAGGAGCCCAAGGGGACUUGCCACCACUGUGGAAAGGAAGGGCAUUGGAAGAGGAAUUGCAGGUUAUACCUUGCAACUCUUAAGGACAAGCCACAAGGUAUGGUUUAUGUUCUUAUCUUCAAUUCUAAUUGUUAGAUCUUCUAAACCUUUAUAUUUGAUAUAAAGGGCUAAUCACUUGUAUAAUUGUAUAUAGGUGGAGGAGCCAAGUAGAAGAGGAACAAGCAAGGAAAAAUGUAGAGAAGGGUUCGGCCACUAUGUUUUUUGCUUACUACUUAGGAAGUUUGUUAGGCAUUUAAAGAUAGUCUUUAAACUUUCUUAUUUUGUUAGGAACUUAUUAUGUGGCUUCAUAUGAUGGAAGACCACUAUUAGUGCCUAAAUGUAUAAAGGUAUUUAAAUUAGUCUCUAAAUGUAUAGAGCUAAUACUUUUUGUAUUAAACAUUAUGAAUGUUUGAAUUAUCAUAUUAAUGUAAUGUGAUGAAUGCCUUCUAAUAUAUUAUUUCCUUAAAGUAGUGUUAUGAAUUGAAUAUUGUCUUGUUGUAUCCUAGUUGAGAUACAAGAUUUAUAUCACUUAUUGUAAUGUGAUAACCAAACUUUAGACUUAUCAAUUAUGGAUAGAUCUUACAUGUAGGACAUAAAAGGAUACAAUGAAUCUUUAGAUUUGGUUCCAAUUGUCUACCUAUGAGUUCUAUAUGAAUUGACAAAGGUCUAGAGAUUCCUUUCUUAAAGAAAAGGAAGAUCACAUUAUAAUGAUAUAAGUAAUAAGAAAAACGUUUCUUAUAUGAUUAUCACUUAAACCACAAUAAUCAAGAUCACUCUUGAUUCAAUUAGUAGUUUGAACAACUAAUUGGGCAUUCUUUAAAUUGUUUUAAAAUGUCAAUUGUGUUAGUGAUUAAACCAAGAAAGAAGUGUCUAAAUCUAUAAAAUGUUUAAAUACUUUAGUCACUUAAUAACGAGACAUUAACUUAGUGAAGAUUGAAACAAAUGAGCUUGAAAGGUUUUAAAGCUACUACACAAUGUCCUCUACCCGUAUACUCCACGUUUAUACAUUUUGAAUGUAUGAAGUGAUUUCUCAUUAAAGUCAUGAGAAAUAGUGGGAGGUGUGAAAAUGGAUAUAAACUUAAAUAUGAUUGGUUUAUAGUUGUCUAAAGAAUAAUAGUACUUGACUAUUAUUAAGAGUUUGUAAUUUUAAUUGUUAAAGGACUCAAGCUCUUCAAACGUUAAAAUUCUAUGUUGUGUAACAUUCUAAAGAAUAGUCUUUGAAUGUUGGUUUCGUCAACCUAACAUAAAAUGGUUAUAUGUUGGGAGUUGUCCAUCAUUCUCUUUUAUGAGAACAAGCUAAUAACAAAGCCCAUGGACAAAUUUGAUGAAACAAAAGGGAAUUGUUUCAAAAUGAGUCACAACGUAUAAUUUAACAACAAGACAAUCCAUAUUCGACAUCUUAUGUAACUAUAACGCUCUAUGUAGUUUUGAUAAAUAAUUAUAUCAACCACCUAGAAGGAAUGGUUGAGUUUCUAUAUCCUUAGUAGGAGCCAUGCUUCCACUAAAGACUUGGAUAAUUCUUAUAUGACUACAUUAAAGGUCUUAGUAUGACUAAAACUUGUAGUAUGGUGUAUGACACCAUAUAAUUUAAAUGAAUAGACUUGACAAAGCAAGUCACACAUUUCAAAAGGAAUUACUUGAGAAUGAAUUCUUUUGUGUAUGAUUCGUUUAAAUAACUUGUGUUAGCUAGAGUUGUUGAUAGUCUCAAAAUAGUUGAGACAUCAUCAAUAAGCUAAUGGAUCUUAAUGAUUGUCAAUAGAUCCAAGACAAGUUAGUGGGAGCAAUAUGCAUUCAAAUCAAGAAAAUAUAAUUGUUAAGGUUUUGAAUGAAUGCUGAGUUACAACAAGGCCAGUGGGAGUGAUAUCAUAAUUUGAGCAACAAGAUAUGAAUAAAGUCUAUUUGAUAGACUUGAUAAAACAUAGAUGUUACUCAAAAAAUGACAAAAUUGUGACAUGGUCAAUUUUGAAGUAUAGACUUGAAAUUGGACUUAAUGAUAUAGCAAGGCUAUCUCAAGAAUAUUUAAAUGGGGAAAUUAAAUCUCAAAUGUUGAAGAUUUAAGAAAGCAUUUUCCUAUAUGAUAGAAAAUCACUUUCGUAACCCUUAUAAUGAAUGUGUCACAAAAUCACAAAAGGGACACAUGUAUGGACUUGUGAGUAGAUAUCCAAAAGUGAAGAACCACAGGGGUUGUCACUUUAAGAUAUUACUAUAUCCCAGGAUCAGAACCAAAGCAACUGAUAGAGUAUUAUUGCCUUUAAGAAAGGAACAUCAGAGUGGGACUCUGGAAGCGUGCGUUCACUUAGGUUAUAAACCAAAGUGAAAAUAAGCCAUUUUAACAAAUGGAACUUCAUAAUGGAUGAAGUACUAAUCAUAUGAAUGUAUUGUAAGUAUUGUACUACAAUGGUCUCAAGGUUGGAGCAAAGUUUGUAUAAAGUAUACAAACGAAAUAUAUGACGAUAUAUUGUUUUAGAAACUGCUUCAAAAGGUGUUUUGAAUGGAAGGGGUUCUUUUAGAACCAAUGAUUGAAUCCAAACCAUAAGGUCGUUAGUAGGACACUACGACGUAAUGGGGCGAUAGCUCAAGCCAUGGAAUCAAGGUCUCAUCAAAGUAUUCGAACACAAGAAAGAGACAUCAUCAAAUGUUUUGGAAACAUUUGAUAAGUGAAUCCCUUUUAAAUAAAAAGGAUUAAUACAUAACCAAGUUAACCUAUGAGCAUAAGCUCUCUCAACUAGCAUGUAUAAGAUACACUAGUGAUUGACUUUAGUGCAAGUGGGAGAUUGUUGGAAAUAUGCCUGAAAGUCAAUCUUUGGAAGAAACCUUUUAGGACAAUAAAUAGAUGUAUAGAUGACUCUUAUACAUCAAAUGGCAAAGAUACUAUUUAGGACUAUCUCUAUAAAUGAUAUAUGUCCUAAAUGGUGAAUCCAUGGACAAUGGAUCGAUUGAAGAAGUAAUCUAAUGAAGUUAGACUACAGAGACCUUCUUCACAUAACCAUCAUGUCCAAAAGGUUCAUGGUCAUAGGAUUGUUGGAGGGAUACUGACAAUGCAUAGACCGGUACAUACUAUGUCCGCUUCAAUUAGAAGGAUGGAAAGUCUCAUCCCAUUCGUGUAGUGAUUGUUGGAAAUGUGCCCUAAAACCAAUCAUGUGAUGAUACUUUACGGACGUUUCACAUGUUAAACUAAUCUAGUUUAAUAUCAAGGGCAAAGAUUAUUGUUUUAAGUCGUCUCAUAUAAAUGUUAUAUGCUUAAACGAUAAGUCCAAGGAAUAUGUAAUUAGGAGAAUGUAAUUUAAACAAGUUAGAUUUAUGAGACCAUUCUCUUUCGUAUACAUAUCCUAAACGUUCCUGAUCAUAGGAUUGCCAAUUAGGCAUUGACAGUCCGUUAAGAUCAGUACGUGAUGUGUCUUCUCUCAUGGAGAGUGACUGGUCUCGAGUCAUUGGUGUGACUGACACUAAGACAAGUACGUAGGUGCUCAAUAGCGAAUGAGUCCACUAAACACGAUCAACGAAGAGUUCUCAUACUCAUGUCACAUAAGAACUUAUAGUUGAGAUAAUGCAAAGUAGUCCUUUGACCUGAGGCAUCAUAGUUGUCUUGUGGUUAGGUCCUUGAUCUUUGAUUAUGUCAAAGACACUCAAUUCGCGGGUGUCCACAGCAUAGUUGGGGUUAAGCCACUUAGUCAUGGAGGCAAGUGAAUGCGCAACAAGGGAUCUCUAACCUUCAAACUGUUUAAGGGAGAAUACUCUAUGAUAUGAUUAAGAAUCUCUGGCCAGAGUAUGAAUGAGAUUUAGGAAGUCAUUCCAAAUCACAUUCAAGGUAAUCAUAUAAGUAAAUGAAUCACAUUAGAUAGUAGACAUGAAUAAACUAUCAAACCAAACAAUGUGGUCAAGAGUAUUGUAUUAGAGAAAGACCGUAUUGCAUUUGUAAUCCUAAACUGAAUAGGUUCUCCACCUCUUCUAAUUAGCUUGGGUAACCAUGAUAUGCUGCUAGGUGUCACUUAUGGUUUGUGGAAGCCCUAAACGUGUAUAAUCACUAAAGGGAGAAUUGAAAGUAAGUUUCAAUUCAUAAUCGAUUUGAAAUGGUUUUAAUCGCCCACUGCCUCGCUAAAAGGAACCUAAUGGAUCGUACACCGUGUAAGGUGGAGAUUGAAGAAACAAUGGAGAUGAGUAAGAAUAAUUAAAUGGUUUAAUUAUUUAUGGCAAGGAUUAAUUAAUAUGUUAAUUAAUCAAACAAAUAAGUUCGUUAAAGACCUCAGGAUAGUUUUGGACCUUAAGGCCCAAUGGGCUUCGAACGUCAAGCCCAUUGACUUAAGUUGUAUGACAACUUAAUGAAUAAUGAUUCACAAAGGCCCAAUUAGCCCAAUAAUACCCUAAGGCCGGCCAUUCAGAGAUGGAGUGAGUUUUGGACUUAUUUACAAGUUUGCCACUCCAACGAAUUAAGGUAUAAAUAUGACUUUAUAGCCAAAAUUCAUUUAGGGUUUUCUUUUGGGGAAAUGAUGAGAACAUAAGCUCUCAUUUCUCUCUAAAGUGGCCGGCCUCCUUGGAGGGUUUAGCUAGCAAUCCUACUACUCCAAGGUCACUCAUUUCUUCUCCAAUCUAACCUUGGUGAAGAGACUUAGAGGUUCUCAAUUUUGGGAACUUGGAGAAACCUAUUCCUCCAUCCAAAUCCAUGGAUCUAAGAAGCAAGGAAUGAAGGCCCUAUCUCUUGGGUGAUUAUCCUUUGCUUAUGCAAAGAGGAAUCAACAAAGGUAUAAUUUCUCAACUCACUUAAUUUUGAGUUGAGUCUUGGUUCACCAAACUACUAGGCUUUGAAUUUCAUGGGUAAUGUUUUGUUUUUGAGUGAAUACAAGCAUGAUUCCGCCUUUAAUUUGUUAAUUGCAUGCUAUAGAUGUUAUUCAAAUGAACAUGUUUUUCACAAAAUUUCCUUCAGUGACACUAAGACAAGUAUGUAAGUGCUCAUUAAGGGAAUGAGUUCAGUGAACACAAUCGAACGAGAGUACUUGAAUGGAGGUCGACUCACAUGUCAAGCAAGUAACUCUAAUAGUUGGAAUAAUGUAAGUAGUCUUUUGACCUGAGGCAUCAUCGUUGUCUUGUGGUUAAGUACUUGAUCUUUGAUUAUGUCAAAGUCACUCCAUCCGCGGGUGUCCACGGCAUAGUCGGGGUUAAGCCACUUAGUCAUGAAGGCAAGUGAAUGCGCAACAAGGAAUCUCUAAUCCUCGUGAAGAGAGGAUGAAUACUCUAAGAUAUGAUUCUGGAAUCUUCGGCCGAAGUAUCGAGCGUAAUAAAGGAAAGCGUUCCUAUACGACUCAAUUGAAUCAUAUAAGAAGGAAUAAUCACAUUAGGGGUUUGACAUAAUAUAUCCAUACCCUAGUGAUGUGAUUGAGAGUAUUGUUUUAAAGAAGGAUCAAAUUACAUUGUAAUUCCAACUGAAUAGGUUCUCCGAACAACUUCUACAUUAGCUUGGGUAGCCAUGAUAUAUGGUUAGAUGUCACUCAUGGCUUGUGAGUUCUUCUAGAUGAUUAAAUGUAGUCGUCAAAGAAGAAGGUGAAUUAAAAGUAAGUUUUAAUUCACUAAGUGAUUGGAUUAAAUAUAAUCAAUUGGAUUGGUGCCAAUCACCUCACUGCCUUGCUAAUUAGAACCUAAAACAAUUGUUCACCAAUACACUCUUGUAGUGAGUAACUAAUGGAUGAUGGAAAUAAUUAAUUGGAUUAAUUAAGUGUUGUGAUUAAUUAGAAAGUCUAAAGAAAUCAUAAAAGCGAUAUAAGAUCGUUUUGGGCUUAAAGAAACGUUCGGGUUUAAUUGGGCCCAUUGGGCCUAAACCCAUUGGGCUUUUAUUCAAGCAUUGGAUGACUUGAAAUAAAUAAAGCCCAAAGCCCAAACAACACAAAGGGGCCGGCCAAAGGAAGGAGAGAAAGGUCAAAUGUUGACUUGUUUCUUUUGGCUAUAAAAGGAACUUUAUAGCAAAUGUUUCAUUAGGGUUUUUGAAGUGUUAAAAGAACAAAAAAGAAAAAGAAAAAUAUCUCUCUAACACUCAAAGGGGCCGGCCACCAUUGGGGGAUUUAGCUAAUCAUCUUUUCACCCCUUUGGUUAUUCCUUCAUCCUUCUCACUACACUAGUGGGUGAGGAUCUUUAGAGGUUUUCAAUUUUGGAAACUUGAAGAGAACCUAGGAGCACUCAUUCUAAACAAAGUGGAGGAGGCAAGGAAGGAGGCUAGGCUCAAGGAGUUCAAGGAGCAAAGGGCUUGGAGGUGGUCCAUCCUUGGUCUAAGAUUUAGAUCAAGAGGUAUAAAACUACUCCUAAACUUUGUUCUUGUAUAAAUUUGUUUUUGAUGCAUCUUACAUAAACCUAUGCAUCUUGAAGGGGGUUUACAUGACUAUUGCUUUGAUAUUAUUUGAUAACAUGCUUCCGUUGCUUUCGUAUAUAAAUUUUGAAUUGUAUAUGCAUGCUAGUCACUAGAAAUCCCACAUGAAUCUCAUAGUAUUCCCUUCAGUGGCACCACUAUCUGGGUACCAUGUGGGGUCUGGGUACUGCACGACUUGGGAGCCAGCAAAAGGUGUAAAAGAAUCAGGCCCAUGAUAACGAUAAGGACACUGUUGGGCUAAGUAUUGAUUUGUUGAACAGUUGGGGCACCAAGGCCAAGGCCCGAGCCUAAUAAGCCCUGCGAGUUCCACUGACCGCGUCCUAUGCCACACGGAGGGCCAUUCCAGUUUGCUAGGCCAUUCAUAUUCAGCCCAUUGCAAGGGUGGAAGGGUGCAUUCCAGUUGCCACGAUUUGGACGACCAUUGCGACCAUGAUUGUUGCUGCGAUGUUGUCCUCCACAUCCUCCUUUGUGACCUUGCCAGCCACCUUUGGUAGGUGGAUAAGAUUGAUUCCACGGGGAUGGUUUUGGGGUUGUUGGUGGAUGGUGAUGAGAGCUGUCUAUGUAGUUAAAGUGGAGGAGCCGUUGGGGUUCUGAAGAUCAAAAGCAAGAAUCCGUGUGUGUAACUCAGUGAAGGAUGGCAAGGGUUUCGAGUUAAUGACAGCUGUAAGGAGCAUACGAUAGUCAAGACCUAACUCUCGAAGCACCAUGAGAACCAAGUCGUUGUUAGAGAUAAGUUGUCCAAUAUGAACGAGUUCAUCAGUGAGAUUCUUGGCGUGUUGCAGGAACUCAGAGACGGAAUGGGUGCCUUUAUGAAGAUCCAAUAAUUAGAAACGGAGGUUGACUGCGUUGGCGACAUAGUUCUAGGAUAAGUGUUCCUCCAGGCAGUCCCAAACAACUUUGGCCGUGUCAUGGCCAACUGUUAAGGCAAGAACAGGUUCAGAGA